rnacentral:lncRNA from 1 species
UAAUAGGACUGCAGUACCCACUUGAAAUCGAUCGCGUAUAGAUUUCUGUUUCUCCACCUGAGAAGUGUGAGAGAUUCGAGAAAAUAGUGGGAGCCCUUGUUUGUUUUUAAAGUCUCUAGAACAAACAAACUUAUAAGUACAAAUAUCUAACUAGAAACUAUUAUCUCUGUAGAUACCAUGUCGAGUACCUACCUCUUAGCCCAUAUCCUCGAUACCAAUAGGUUGACUGGUACCACCUACAAUGACUAGCUCUAGAAUCUGAGAAUUAUUCUUAGCUUCAGAAAACUCACCCAUGUCCUUGAUCAAGAAGUGCCUAUAUUACUUGCUCAUCCAUCCCC